UCUGGGAAUGUCAUUUCGAGCCUGAGACUGCAACGAAAGUAACAAACACAAUGCAAUAUCCUUUUCAAUUUCAAAGAACACAAAUUGGGUUAGUUACAUUAACAAAUAACCAUAAAACAACAAUACUGUACAAUAACAAAAUGAAUGCCUUGAAUAAACCAAAAUACUCUCGCGCCGAAUAUUCACUGCUGAUUACUACAGGAUUUGGAGUCAUUGUCAUCGAUACCACUUUUUAUGUCUCUUGCAGUGGACUGAUGAAGUUUUGCCACUAGAGAAUUUUCUUAAUCAUAAAUAAGCAACAUGUCAAAUGCUGUAGGAACACUGAAAACCACCUUCCCAAAUGUUAAUAGCUAUAUAGUACAGUAUACAAUGAAACUGAAAAUAAUCUCUUAUUCAACAAAAUGUAUACAAAAUAGAUGGAAUAAAUAGAGAAAUGUCAAACUGAUUCAGCUGCAAAAACGGAUUAAAAAGACAUUUGAAAUGACUGAUGAAAUUAAGGAAACUGAUUGUUUCUGUAUAGGGCCGGUUAGCACUUCACUUUUACCAUCAUUAAAAAACAAAGGAGCAUGUACAUACAUUAAUUAUACCUUCAGUAGUAGCAUAGCAUAUAAGUGCUAAUGCUUUAUUAUGUGCCUACAUUGGCAACAAUGCUAGCUCCUAGGUUUUAACUUGGUGCGGGACUACGUCAUUGGUCCAUUUCUUUAGUAAUUGUUUUAUCGCUUUCUGUUUUCCCUGUGCACAUUGUUUACAUAUAUUGUAUCUCCUUUUUGACAGUCAAUACGGUUAAAGUUUUAGUCAGAAGUCAAAUAAUAAUUUGGGCUCUCUAAAAAUUAAAUUAUUUCCAAAUAAUGGAUAUUUAAAAAUAAAUGUCCCCUAAAAAUAUCCUCACAUUCAGCUUAAUUCAAUGUUUUGUAUUAUUAAACAAAAACCAGAUCACAUAACACUUUUUCAACAUUCAGAAAAUGAAAAGUAAACUACUUUCCUGCAACAAUUUGGUACUAAAUGUUUGAAGUUUGUUUGUUCUAGAAAGAAACCAACUUUACAGCAUUACUCAUUAUGUAUGCCAGCAUUGACCCUUAUGUCCAGACUGUUUCUUCUAUACAUGAACCCAAUUGUUGCUGAUAAUGAUAUGAUGAUGAUAUGAAUAGGCCUAUUCCUUUUAUGUCACACAGCUGAUUUUAGGCCUGUCCAGCAUUUUAUUUGCGGAAAGAUCAAGCACAUUUUCCUUGGAAAUUGAAAACGUACUGUGCAAUCUGUUGUAACCAUAGACCUUUUAAAACGGUUACCCAAGUUUCUAAAAAUGUUUAGUGUACACUUUUUACUCAAACAUUUAAAAACAUAUUAAGCAUAUACAACGGCGCCCCUUUCAAUACGUUUUUUCUCAAGUAUGCUAAUACAGUUAUGUAUUGUACAGCACUAUAACAUGAAUUCUGAAUACUCUCAGCCCCACUGUAGCAGCUUCUCCAUAGGACCGUAGUACAGUGAUUGCUGUGGGAGGCAGCCAGCAGAUCGUCCCUUCUCCACAACCACUGCAUAUUCCCAUCCCAAAGUGGAAUACAACUCCGGUUGAACAUCCUCCAGACAGCAGUGACCAAGCUGGUGAGGAAUUCCUGAGAUGCAUCGCAACAAAACAAGCCUUUGCCAGACUAUCUCAAAGGGAACAUGGCAUACAACCUGGCUGAAGCUUUUAAGUCGGCAAGUGUCCUGAAAGAAGCAAUGAAAUCAAAUCCUGAGUUCCAGAAGAAUACAUCCAGGAGCAGAAGCCGCAGUCGAACCCGCGGAAAAUCUCGAGCCAAGAGCCGUGCAAGAAGCAAAAGCCGAUCGCUAGACCGAAGCGGACGGAGCAAAAGUCGUGCUCGGGGCAAGAGUCGGCCAAGUAGCAAGAGCAGGGCAAGAAGCAAAAGCAGGGCGAGAAGCAAAAGCAGGGUCCGCAACAGGAGUCGGAGCCACAGUCGAAGCAAGACGAGUCAUGUGCGGAGCAAGAGCCGGGUCAGGAGGUCCAAGUCACGAAGCAGCAGUGCUGAAAGGAGGCAUGGAAAAGACAAAAAGAGAAAGAGGAGCACCAGCCCCAGCUUUGGCAGCAGUGUUGGCAUCAGUCAUAAUCUGACAGAAAAUAGUCUGUUAAAAGGACUGAAGCUGGUCAUGAACAGCAAAGAACUGGAGGAGCGGAUGCCCACUCUCAAAGAUGCCAUCCUCACUAUUCAGGGUUCAGAUGGAAGCAGAAAAAGUGGAGCGUGUUCAUGAAGAGCUCAGACAUCAGCAACAUGAGAGCAAUGAUAAUUCAUCAUCAUUGGAAAAUGACAGUAUGCUACUUCCUCAUGACAGAGUAGGGAGCGACUUCUCUUGGCUGCAGGCGGAGAGUCAGCAGGAAUCCGCAGUCGUGAAUGCUGAGGAGCUUGAAGACGAAGAGUCGUUCUUGUACGGUAAUGAAGACCACUGGAGAAAAACAAACCAAUAAAUCCUCCACCACACUUUUUGCAGCAUACAAACCACAGGGAAUGGAUAGUUCAGGCAGUCAACAGAACAAACCCAUUUUCAGUAGCUUUGGGGAUAUGCUUGAUCUCAAGCAAACCCUUCAAGGACUUCCUCGAGCGUAGCCUCUGCCAGUCUGGACAGCAGUGAGUGUGAGAAGAUCAAGAACAUAUUAAAAAGUCUGGACACAGUAGACGUCGGCAAGAUCAUGGGGAAGAUGCAGGGUCAAAAGGUGGAGAAGCAGCGGUCUCCUGCACCUUCCAGUUCAGAGCGGACAGCAAGCAGCCUUAGCCCUGCCCGAGCUGGGUAACCCUAAUGUACGGCAAGCUCUGCAGUCCCUACAGUCACUGAUCAAAGCAACAAAGGAGAUAGCAGUGAACAAAAUGAUGGCAAGUUGGUACAUCGCAGACCUCCUCUGAUAAUCACAAGGUAUUGAUUUUCAAGCUGUGCUACUGACAGUGAUAACAAUGGAUGCAUUUAUAGAAUCACAAAACCCCUGGAUUAUUUUGGAAUUGUGCAUGUGUUUUGUAGGCACGUGACAAUGAGGAAGGGAAAGAAUGACAAACUGCCCGAUGAAAAAAAUGGAAUCCUUGAUGAAUGAGCUGGAAGGAUUGUUGAAACAGGAUGGUAAGGCAGGUCUCCUGUGAUGAAUGUAUCCUUUAGCGUAAAUACUCUACAUACUUCACUGUCGUCUUCUCUCUUACAGGAUGAGUUUUCUGUCACCAGUGAUUGGGUUUACUGUCAGAAUGUGAGGUAGUUCAUUGGGGAUUUUGAGUAGUGCUGAAAACCCAUGCAGCCAUCCACCGCCAUGGGAACUCGGGCAGUCAUAAAGCGCGGAUGGACAGGAAUGCUGAAGACAGCAAGGGACCCUCGCACCAUUUGAGCAGCUGCUCUGCUCAUCCACAACCCUCAGAAAGGAGGGACCACAGGGGCUCUGAAUACAGAGAGUCAGCAGAGCACAGGAGUCACAGAGACCACCAGCAAGACCACCAGCAAGACCCCCAGCGAGACUGGAGGGACGACAGGGAUCACAGAAGCAAAAACCACAACGAGGGCGGGAGCCACGGGGACGCCAUGGGAAACAUGUCCUUGAAACAGGAGAUGAGGAAGGAGAGGCUCCUCAUCACGGUGUCUCGUGGACAGACCCCUCCUCCUAAAGGGAGGGCCAAAAAGGAGGUGAACAAGGAGCAGAACAUCGGGAGUCUUAACAAAAUCAAAGUGGAAGACACUGACGGCAAGGGAAAUCAAUCCAACAGCAGCGGAGAAAAGAAAAGCCUAGUAAAAUAUGAAAGCAGCGACAAGUAAUGAUAAUGACAAAGGUAAAACACAGAAAGACAGAUCCCCUAAAAAGAAAAGAAGAGAAGAAGGAAGGAACGAAGAAAAAAGGAAUGAGAAGUUCCUAAGUGUUGAGUUAUGCUUGAACCUACACUGAGAACCACUGGUUAUUUUGUAUAGGUGUGAUCCGCAGAGGAAGGAGUUUUCAUGGUGUUAGGAAGUGCACUUCCCUUAGAUAAAGAUUCAUAUAAAUGUUAUCUUUGUGAGUCUCUGGUUGAGAGGGUUCUCGCCUGAAGUUUUGAGUUAUUCGAGGAGUAAGUUCCCUCGCUCUGCGACUUCCAAACACAUCGGAGACUCAUCUCUACCUAGACGCACAGGUGACAUUUCGAAAAUCUUCUUUGGCUGUAAAUCGUCCAAAAUGUCAGCAUGCUUAUUUUUGCUUUGUUGCUUCCUACAGAUUUGACAAUGAGAAUGAAUAUGUUGCUGUACAGUAAGCUUUCAGGUAACCCCCACAUCCUGGUUUGAUGUUUCAAGUCAGCGUUUUGAAGGAUUGUAUUAAUACCAUAGUUACCGUGUACCGUGAUGGAAAUGUGAUGUGUGUAUUUUACAGUUGUGUUUCACUUUCCUACUUGUCUGUAUUUUUAUCUGAAAUACAAGAUCACACACACAAGUCUGUCUCCUGUUUUUGACAUUUUGAAAUAAAGAAAUGUGUUUACCACAUCA